ACGACCUUACUUGAACAGGAUCUGUUCUAUAGGCUCGUACAACUGUAUCCUUGAGUUCUAAGGAGACAGGAACCAAAGUCUGGUGGAUGAAUUAUGGCCAUGAGAUCAGAGCGUGAUUAAUGGCCUUAAUGAGCUUCUGUUUCAGGGUCUCAUCUUGGGCAAUAGAGGAUCGUUCUUGGUUAGCCUUUGCUGACUGAGAUGGUCUCAUGGCUUUCUGACAGACU